UGAACGCUAGCGGGAUGCCUUACACAUGCAAGUCGAACGGCAGCACGGACUUCGGUCUGGUGGCGAGUGGCGAACGGGUGAGUAAUGUAUCGGAACGUGCCUAGUAGCGGGGGAUAACUACGCGAAAGCGUAGCUAAUACCGCAUACGCCCUACGGGGGAAAGCAGGGGAUCGCAAGACCUUGCACUAUUAGAGCGGCCGAUAUCGGAUUAGCUAGUUGGUGGGGUAACGGCUCACCAAGGCGACGAUCCGUAGCUGGUUUGAGAGGACGACCAGCCACACUGGGACUGAGACACGGCCCAGACUCCUACGGGAGGCAGCAGUGGGGAAUUUUGGACAAUGGGGGAAACCCUGAUCCAGCCAUCCCGCGUGUGCGAUGAAGGCCUUCGGGUUGUAAAGCACUUUUGGCAGGAAAGAAACGUCGCGGGUUAAUACCCCGCGGAACUGACG
rnacentral:rRNA from 2 species